rnacentral:pre_miRNA from 1 species
AGUGGGAUAACUGGGUCAAAUGGUGGUUCUAUUUCAGUUUUUCUAAGGAAUCUCUGUACUGUUUUCCAGAUUGGAUGUACCAAUUUGCAGUCCCUCCAGCAAU